rnacentral:rRNA from 1 species
CAGCCUGAUGGAGCACACCGCGUGAGUGAAGAAGGGUUUCGGCUCGUAAAACUCUGUUGUUGAAGAAGAACGUGCGUGAGAGUAACUGUUCACGCAGUGACGGUAUUCAACCAGAAAGUCACGGCUAACUACGUGCCAGCAGCCGCGGUAAUACGUAGGUGGCAAGCGUUAUCCGGAUUUAUUGGGCGUAAAGCGAGCGCAGGCGGUUACUUAAGUCUGAUGUGAAAGCCUUCGGCUUAACCGAAGAAGUGCAUCGGAAACUGGGCGACUUGAGUGCAGAAGAGGACAGUGGAACUCCAUGUGUAGCGGUGGAAUGCGUAGAUAUAUGGAAGAACACCAGUGGCGAAGGCGGCUGUCUGGUCUGCAACUGACGCUGAGGCUCGAAAGCAUGGGUAGCGAACAGGAUUAGAUACC